rnacentral:rRNA from 1 species
CAGUAGCCGCGGUAAUACGAAGGGGGCUAGCGUUGCUCGGAAUUACUGGGCGUAAAGGGAGCGUAGGCGGGUCGUUUAGUCAGAGGUGAAAUCCCGGGGCUCAACCUCGGAACUGCCUUUGAUACUGGCGACCUUGAGGAUGGGAGAGGUAAGCGGAACUCCGAGUGUAGAGGUGAAAUUCGUAGAUAUUCGGAAGAACACCAGUGGCGAAGGCGGCUUACUGGCCCAUUACUGACGCUGAGGCUCGAAAGCGUGGGGAGCAAACAGGAUUAGAUACCCCCGUAGUCCCUGUCUCUUAUAC